rnacentral:rRNA from 1 species
UCGCCUGUUUUAUCAAAAACAUAGCUUUAUGAAAUUUAUAUUAAGUUUUACCUGCCCAGUGAAAAGAUUUUUUUAACGGCCGCAGUACUUUGACUGUGCUAAGGUAGCAUAAUAAAUUGACUUUUAAUUGAAGUCUUGAAUGAAUGGAUAUAUGGAUAUAAACUGUCUUAGUUAAAAUAUUUUAAAGUUAAUUAAAAGGUGAAAAUUCCUUUAAUUUAAUUUAAUAGACGAGAAGACCCUAGGAGUUUAAUAUUUUGUUGGGGCAACAUUAUAACAUAUUUAAAUUUAUAAUAAUAGAUUAUAUAUAACGAUAAUUUUAUUUAAAGGUAAACUACCCUAGGGAUAACAGCAUAAUUAUAGUUUUUAGUUUGUGACCUCGAUGUUGGACUAGGAACUUGCAAUAUUAGCUAUAUUGUUUGUUUGUUCUGUUCGAACAAUUACACCUACGUGAUCUGAGUUCAGA